AAUGCUCAAAAUCACUGCUGAUCUACAAAGAUUUUCAGGAGACCAUAAAUCACCCUAAAUAGCCCAAGGCUGUGGGAGUUCUUUUCUUUGGCUUGGAAUCUUCCAAGGCAGCUCAUGAAAUCUGAUGAUGUGGAGACAGAACAACACCACAGCCCCAUCAUUCUGCCCAGGAGGCUUGGGAAACAUCCCGCUGACCAGAGACAGUCUUGAAGACCUGAAUCCCAACCUCCUGCUUUGCAAUGAGCAGCCUGGCCCAGAUUCCCAUCUGCUGGACCUCGAGUACCUGCCCUACUACAGAACAUCCCAUAUCUGCCCAGCAUCUCACAUCUUCACUGAAAGAGAAAAAAGCUCCAGUGAAGGCAAGGCUAACACUAAGCAGGAUGAGAAAACCAUCCUGCCAAGUUUGGGGCUGAGCAAGAGGACAAUUUCUGCUAUGAGCAAGGAGGAGCCCCUCGCCCAGGAGCUGCUGGGAUCCAGCAGCUCUGCACUCUGCCUGCCCACAGCCUCCUGUCCCAGCGGGCUCCCGCGCCUCAACCAGCCCCCGUCCUGCACAGGCUACUUCCCUUACUACAGGACAGAGGGAGGGAUUUGCAGUGGCCCACUCCAAAGAAAAGGGUCCUUCACUAGGAUAGAAGAUCUGGAGACCAAAGAUGGAGGACAAAGGGGAGGAUGGAGUAUUUGGAAUCUCCAUGGCAGCUGCCUGGUGUCCUGA
rnacentral:lncRNA from 1 species